AUUUGAUGCAGCUUGAAAAGUAACCAAAAAUUAUCUCCUUGCAGCACAGGGAGGACACGAGUGCCUUGCAGACACCUCCCGCAGCACGUCAGCCAGCACCAGAUCAAUCCCAUCCCUAAUUGCCUGCAGCCCCUGCCCUGAGCUGGGACACCAUGGCAGGUGUGGGAAGGGGCUGGUGCCCACACUGGCAGCUGUAGACGAGGGAUGACGCAUUAGAACGCUGCCACAGAGCCCUGCAGGGAUGUGUAGGUGUGGAAGAGUCAGCAGGCUGUUGCUGAGAUGCGGGACCCUACCAAUGGAGCAGAGACAGCUGAGAAGGUGGAGGGAAGGAGAGGGAAGCAGGAGAAGAAAACUUCCAAGUGCCUUUUUGAAUUCUAAGUUUUCUUGGACUUGCUCAGCUCUAAUCUUUAAUUCAUAAUUUCAUUACAGUCUCUUUGCUCUGUAAAGUCUGCAUUUCAUGUAAAAGGAGCAGCUCAAACAUCAAUUAUUUGACAUAAGUCAACCCCUUGUUAAAGUCCCCUACUCUACAUAUAUGUUGGCUCCAAUAAAAGAAGCAUUAAACAUUCAUUAAAUUAGAAAUACAUGAAGACAGUGUCAUGCCUCUCUUCUCAUACAGAUAUGCCUAAUAAGCCCAACCUUCCAGAGCAGUGAAAGCAAAACCAUCUCUAAUCCUUUUAGAAAGCCUGACCAUGCAAAGCACCCCAGUCUUCUGCAAUUUGCCUGUGAGUCACCCAGAGAAAUUAGCUACUGCAGGUCAGAUCCUCAGCAGGAGUAAAUGUGAGUCAGCCCCUCUGCCGGGGUUACACCGAAUACCACAGACCCGGGAUUUGGCUGUGGGGUUCUCUUGCAGCAAAAUGGUUUACAGCAAUGUAAUUGGAUAAAAAUGUCAUUUUUAGUCUUCUGCUUUAAACCCAGAAUUCAAUUGGGUGGGGAAUUGCAGUAACCACACCUGCUUGGAUUUCAGUACUGUCCAGUCUGCUUGUGCUCUGCAGCAGGCUCCCAACCUCAGCCUAGGACCUUCUCCAAAAAUAACCCAACCAACCCACCCCCUCCUCUACAAAACACCACCAUGACGAUAGUGGAUCUUGAACCACUGCCACUGUAGACUUGUGCACACAAAUUUCAGCAACGUUUUUGCAAGGGGUCACCCCUGGUAAGCAGAUACUUCUUCACAACCAUCUCCAUUUGAAGAACAACGCAUGCCACGUAUAACAUAUUUCCCACACCUCUGUGAUCUGGGUCUGUUUCACAAGAGCUUUGGAGCAAGUCCCAUCCAGCAAACAGCUUCUCACCAUCCUGCCAUUUAGGAU
rnacentral:lncRNA from 1 species